AGCGUUUCAAGGGACACUUGUAACACAGAGUGUGCUCCUUACCUCUACCCUCCAUACCUCCAUAGUUUUUUUGGAGUUCAAAACACUUGUAUUUAUAUAUACUAUGGAGGGUAGAGAUCUCUACCCUCCAUACCCCAUAGCUUAGCCCAAGUUCGGUCUCCUGUGUAUAGUCUCCAUAAACCACAACUACGAGUGUUAUCACACGUGCAAAACCGCGAUACUGUAAGAGAUGACUAACAAAUUUGAUUUUCUCAAGAACGCUAAAUAUGCAGAGACAAGCAGGAGAUGAUGGAGCCGUCUCUAGAAGUUCAGCAACUAAAAUCUGCAAAAGGGUGCAAUACUUGCUUCAACAUGCAACAAAUCAGGUGGGUGAAUGAAAAAUCGUUGGACGAGCACAUAAAAUUCAUGAAC